UUCCCGGGAGCCUCCUGGCGGUGGUGGGGGGCCUCGAGGGUCCCCUAAAGGAGAUCGCCCCCCUUCUGGAGGACC
rnacentral:tRNA from 1 species